rnacentral:rRNA from 1 species
AUUGAACGCUAGCGGGAUGCUUUACACAUGCAAGUCGAACGAGUGGCGGACGGGUGAGUAAUAUAUCGGAACUUGCCCAGUAGCUGGGGAUAACUACUCGACAGCGUCGCUACUACCGCAUAAUAUUGGAGCGGCCGAUAUCGGAUUAGCUAGUUGGUGGGGUAAAGGCGCACCAAGGCAACGAUCCGUAGCUGGUUUGAGCGGACGACCGGCCACUCUGGGACGUAGACACUGCCAAGACUCCUACGGGAGGCAGCAUGGGGGAAUUUUUGACAAUCGGGUAAAGCCUGAGCCAGCCCUCCCGCGUGUAUGAGAAGGCCUUCGGGUUGUAAAGUACUUUUGGCAGAGAAUCGGUAUCUGCAGAAUAAGCACCUGCUAACUACGUGCCAGCAGCCGCGGUAAUAC